rnacentral:lncRNA from 1 species
GGAAUUGCUGAAGUUGUGAAGGUUGAUGCUGUGAAUGCGCUCGGUCAUCCCCUUGCAACUGAUGUCACCUGCAGCAUGUCAACGCAGACACAAAACAGGGCAUGGGUCAGAUCUAGCUGGUUGCAUUCCUAACACCUAGGUUUCAGAGUAAAAAUACAGAGUCAGCUUGUGAUGGCAUUCCCUCAAAACAUGGAAGGAAUUGCAGUAAUGAAAGUCAUCAUGUAUUCUAAGAGACUGUUCUGCGAGAGCACAACACAGACGGGGCUAAAGCAGGGAUUGUCUAAGCCCAGUGUGGAGGAACCAUCAAGGAUUUCAGCACGUUUUUUUAGCCAUUGUACAGUUUGUGAAAAUUAAGUUUUACUCUGUGAAUAAAGAAUUGGAUAGAUAAUUCCAGACAACAUUCUGAAAGACACUUACGCCGUCAUUCCAAAGUUGAAAUGAAAUGAGGGGGAGAAGACUUGCUGGGACUAAGGAAAAAAGUCAAUGAAAUCUGAGUGAGAAGCAAAAGUGCUCAGGAGUUAAGAGAAGCAGACGUCCGAAAUUAUCUCCAUGCAUUACCAAAAACCGUGGGCACCACGGCACGGGGAAAACUUACCAGGUACAAUGAGCCAGUGACUGUUACUGAAUUUCUUAAGAUUACACUUUUCCCAACUACUGCAGACUGCUUCAGAAUAGAAGAAGACAACUCUCAUGCCAUCAAGCCGACGGACUUUCAAAAAAAUAAAAGAUGCAUUUCUUUACUUGUAAGUAUUUGUCUUUGCAAAGGGCUCUCUGAUAUGGUAGCACAGAAGUUUGCACAUUCUAAGGAUCUGAUGUUUUGCCCUCUUCGGGUAUCCCGGCUGGAAGGAGCUACGGUGAAAGGGCACCUAAGGUGAAUGGACAGAUUGUAGAUGGGUGCACACAGGAAAAUGUACAGCUCCUACAAUGUAUUCUGAGCUUUACUAAGGGAAUUAAUUAUCUGGAAGAACAGGAACAUACAGGCCCAUGAGAAGUAAAAGCAGGCACUGGCAUUCUGCACAGAUGAAAUACUUCCUACGACAGGAAUACAUGCUCACUUGUGGACUUCUCUGUAAUCUGUAGGCAACAUCAGCUCCUGAUUUCUAGGUCUGGAUCUGGGUUCUCUGUAGCACAGGAAGGUCUCUACUUCUCCUACAUAAAUGCCUUGCAUGGCGGGAACUAAAUCAACUACACAGACCCAUACAUCCAGAGAGCAGAGGUGAGCUGGAUACAAGUGGCUUAGAGAUGUGGUGGAAGGAGGCCAGAGCUCCAAGGGAAGGGCAGCAAGGAGACAACAGCAUGGGUUGCAGCUCAGACAACAGGUAAAUAAAACCAAGCAAAGCUGCUGGUCACAGAUUUGACCAGGGUGGCAAGAAAUGACAAGCUACCAUGAGAUUCAACAGUGGCACGGAAGGAUGAUGAGAAGCAAACAGAUUAGGAGAAGCUGCCACCACCGUACAUAGAGGCACAGAUGACCAAGCAGAACAGCACCAGUCCCUGCAAGGUGUGCUCAGAUACAGCUCAGCACAGCCAUCUGGCCAGGAGGGAAUGAUAAUGCACAUGGUGUGCACUGCAGCCGGGAAGUUGAGAACCGCUGUGGGCACCUCAGGACUGAGUCUGGUUACCCUGCUGAUCCAAGAAAUGAAGCCAUCUAAAAUUUUGCCUGCUUUCACAAUUUUCUGUGUGUGUGUGUGUGUAUUAAACAAAGUGAACUAAGAAGCC